rnacentral:rRNA from 1 species
GACAAGGGAAAUUCAGUUGUUUAAUUAAAAUAAAGCAUUGUAAUGGUCUCCGCGGAUGCUCACGAAAUGUGAUUUUUGCCCAGUGCUCUAAAUGUUAAAGUGAAGAAAUUCAACCAAGCGCGGGUAAACGACUAGAGUAACUAUAACUCUCUUAAGGUAGCUAAAUGCCUCGUCAUCUAAUUAGUGACGCACAUGACUAGAUUAACAAGAUUCCC